rnacentral:rRNA from 1 species
GACGAACGCUGGCGGCGUGCUUAACACAUGCAAGUCGAACGGAAAGGCCCUGCUUUUGUGGGGUGCUCGAGUGGCGAACGGGUGAGUAACACGUGAGUAACCUGCCCUUGACUUUGGGAUAACUUCAGGAAACUGGGGCUAAUACCGGAUAGGAGCUCCUGCUGCAUGGUGGGGGUUGGAAAGUUUCGGCGGUUGGGGAUGGACUCGCGGCUUAUCAGCUUGUUGGUGGGGUAGUGGCUUACCAAGGCUUUGACGGGUAGCCGGCCUGAGAGGGUGACCGGCCACAUUGGGACUGAGGUACGGCCCAGACUCCUACGGGAGGCAGGAGUGGGGAAUAUUGCGCAAUGGGCGGAAGCCUGAUGCAGCAACGCCGCGUGCGGGAUGACGGCCUUCGGGUUGUAAACCGCUUUCGCCUGUGACGAAGCGUGAGUGACGGUAAUGGGUAAAGAAGCACCGGCUAACUACGUG